GUGAAGUUAAAUGACUUUUCCAUUGUUGAGUCAGAAAAGAUUAUAACCCGGAUGCUCUGCCCACCCCAAGAACUUUAUUCCAGCAGACACUUCAUGCCUCCCAGGAGCUCCUGCAAGGAAGCCUGGUAGCACCCAGUGAUGUUUGGAUCUCAGGGUGAAGUCAGAGGCUCCAGGCUCACACUGUUUGAGGGACCGUCACUCUCAAGUAUGUGCUGGGGAUACAUUUAGUAAGCAAGAGAGGCACGGACCAUGAAUCCUUCACAGAUGGAAAAAUAAAAAAGACCUGUGCAGAUGUUACUGAGGGCCUUACAGAAGAGCAAACUGAGAAGCUGAGCAACUUAGACACUUGGCAAGGGCAAUCCAGCUAGUGAAGGAUUACAGAAGAGUUGGAACUGAUUCUAGGACCAAUGAACUUCUGCAGCACAUUGUGACCUGCAUACUGACCAUGUCAAGACAACAAGAAUGCUUGGCAGUCAAAUCAUCAGAGAGUAUGAAUGGUGUCCAAGGAGAGGGAUGGUAUUCAAUUUUUGUUUCUAAAUACUGGAAAUGUGAUGAACUUUCCAUUCUGGUGGUUGUUGAGGUGCCUCUACUGACAUUGAUUUACCAUUCACUGAAGUGAGUUGUUUGAGGAAACUGAGACCUCCCACCUGCGAUCCAAGACUUCCAUCAGAUCAUCCCUGCCAAGCCACCGCCCUUAUCUCAACAUGGUGGG